CCUACGGGAGGCAGCAGUAGGGAAUAUUGGACAAUGGGUGCGAGCCUGAUCCAGCCAUGCCGCGUGCAGGAAGAAGGCCUUCUGGGUUGUAAACUGCUUUUGCCGGGGGAUAAAAGACCCAUGCGUGGGGAAUUGAAGGUACCCGGUGAAUAAGCCACGGCUAACUACGUGCCAGCAGCCGCGGUAAUACGUAGGUGGCGAGCGUUGUCCGGAUUUAUUGGGUUUAAAGGGUGCGUAGGCGGCCCCGUAAGUCAGUGGUGAAAUACGGCAGCUCAACUGUCGAGGUGCCAUUGAUACUGCGGGGCUUGAGUACAGUCGAGGUAGGCGGAAUUGACGGUGUAGCGGUGAAAUGCUUAGAUAUCGUCAAGAACACCGAUAGCGAAGGCAGCUUGCUAGGCUGUAACUGACGCUGAGGCACGAAAGUGCGGGGAUCAAACAGGAUUAGAUACCCUGGUAGUCCGCACAGUAAACGAUGGUCACUCGGUGUUGGCGGUACACGGCCAGCGCCUUAGCGAAAGCGUUAAGUGACCACCUGGGGAGUACGCCGCAAGGGUGAAACUCAAAGGAAUUGACGGCGUGNGAGNGCGAGGACGACGACGAGGGAGGAGG
rnacentral:rRNA from 1 species